rnacentral:rRNA from 1 species
CAGCAGCCGCGGUAAUACCGGCGGCCCGAGUGGCGGUCACUAUUAUUGGGCUUAAAGCGUCCGGAGCCGGGUUGGGAAGUCCUCCGGGAAAUCUGGCCGCUUAACGGUCAGAAUGCCGGAGGAUACUCCCAGCCUAGGGAGCGGGAGAGGCCCAGGGGAUUUCCGGAGGAGGGGUGAAAUCCUAUAAUCCCGGGCGGACCACCUGGGGCGAAGGCGCUCGGCUGGAACGCGUCCGACGGUGAGGGACGAAGGCCAGGGGAGCAAACCGGAUUAGAUACCCGGGUAGUCCUGGCGGUAAACGAUGCGGACUUUGUGUCGGACAAGCUAUGAGCUUGUCCGGUGCCGGAGGGAAACCGUUAAGUCCGCCGCCUGGGGAGUACGGCCGCAAGGCUGAAACUUAAAGGAAUUGGCGGG